rnacentral:rRNA from 1 species
CAGCACCUCAAGUGGUCAGGAUGAUUAUUGGGCCUAAAGCAUCCGUAGCCGGCGCUGUAAGUUUUCGGUUAAAUCUGUACGCUCAACGUACAGGCUGCCGGGAAUACUGCAGCGCUAGGGAGUGGGAGAGGUAGACGGUACUCGGUAGGAAGGGGUAAAAUCCUUUGAUCUAUUGAUGACCACCUGUGGCGAAGGCGGUCUACCAGAACACGUCCGACGGUGAGGCACGAAAGCGUGGGUAGCGAACAGGAUUAGAUACCCUGGUAGUCC